ACCUGGCUCAGGAUGAACGCUGGCGGCGUGCUUAACACAUGCAAGUCGAACGGUGAAGGCGGAGCUUGCUCUGCUGGAUCAGUGGCGAACGGGUGAGUAACACGUGAGCAAUCUGCCCCUGACUCUGGGAUAAGCGCUGGAAACGGCGUCUAAUACUGGAUACGAGCUUCCACCGCAUGGUGAGUUGUUGGAAAGAUUUUUCGGUCAGGGAUGAGCUCGCGGCCUAUCAGCUUGUUGGUGAGGUAAUGGCUCACCAAGGCGUCGACGGGUAGCCGGCCUGAGAGGGUGACCGGCCACACUGGGACUGAGACACGGCCCAGACUCCUACGGGAGGCAGCAGUGGGGAAUAUUGCACAAUGGGCGCAAGCCUGAUGCAGCAACGCCGCGUGAGGGACGACGGCCUUCGGGUUGUAAACCUCUUUUAGCAGGGAAGAAGCGAAAGUGACGGUACCUGCAGAAAAAGCGCCGGCUAACUACGUGCCAGCAGCCGCGGUAAUACGUAGGGCGCAAGCGUUAUCCGGAAUUAUUGGGCGUAAAGAGCUCGUAGGCGGUUUGUCGCGUCUGCUGUGAAAUCCCGAGGCUCAACCUCGGGUCUGCAGUGGGUACGGGCAGACUAGAGUGCGGUAGGGGAGAUUGGAAUUCCUGGUGUAGCGGUGGAAUGCGCAGAUAUCAGGAGGAACACCGAUGGCGAAGGCAGAUCUCUGGGCCGUAACUGACGCUGAGGAGCGAAAGGGUGGGGAGCAAACAGGCUUAGAUACCCUGGUAGUCCACCCCGUAAACGUUGGGAACUAGUUGUGGGGUCCAUUCCACGGAUUCCGUGACGCAGCUAACGCAUUAAGUUCCCCGCCUGGGGAGUACGGCCGCAAGGCUAAAACUCAAAGGAAUUGACGGGGACCCGCACAAGCGGCGGAGCAUGCGGAUUAAUUCGAUGCAACGCGAAGAACCUUACCAAGGCUUGACAUAUACGAGAACGGGCCAGAAAUGGUCAACUCUUUGGACACUCGUAAACAGGUGGUGCAUGGUUGUCGUCAGCUCGUGUCGUGAGAUGUUGGGUUAAGUCCCGCAACGAGCGCAACCCUCGUUCUAUGUUGCCAGCACGUAAUGGUGGGAACUCAUGGGAUACUGCCGGGGUCAACUCGGAGGAAGGUGGGGAUGACGUCAAAUCAUCAUGCCCCUUAUGUCUUGGGCUUCACGCAUGCUACAAUGGCCGGUACAAAGGGCUGCAAUACCGUAAGGUGGAGCGAAUCCCAAAAAGCCGGUCCCAGUUCGGAUUGAGGUCUGCAACUCGACCUCAUGAAGUCGGAGUCGCUAGUAAUCGCAGAUCAGCAACGCUGCGGUGAAUACGUUCCCGGGUCUUGUACACACCGCCCGUCAAGUCAUGAAAGUCGGUAACACCUGAAGCCGGUGGCCCAACCCUUGUGGAGGGAGCCGUCGAAGGUGGGAUCGGUAAUUAGGACUAAGUCGUAACAAGGU
rnacentral:rRNA from 1 species